ACACUUUCUUGCACUGAGGUCUGCUUAUUGUAAAUAUCCUGUACUUGUUUUUACACCUUUAAAGUUGACCUUUGACCUUUUCAGUGUUGGAAAGACACUUUCUUGCACUGAGGUCUGCUUAUUGUAAAUAUCCUGUACUUGUUUUUACACCUUUAAAGUUGACCUUUGACCUUUUCAGUGUUGGAAAGACACUUUCUUGCACUGAGUUCUGCUUAUUGUAAAUAUCCUGUACUUCUUUUUACACCUUUAAAGUUGACCUUUGACCUUUUUAGUGUUGGAAAGACACUUUCUUGCACUGAGUUCUGCUUAUUGUAAAUAUCCUGUACUUCUUUUUACACCUUUAAAGUUGACCUUUGACCUUUUUAGUGUUGGAAUUACACUUUCUUGCACUGAGUUCUGCUUAUUGUAAAUAUCCUGUACUUCUUUUUACACCUUUAAAUUGACCUUUGACCUUUUCAGUGUUGGAAAGACACUUUCUUGCACUGAGGUCUGCUUAUUGUAAAUAUCUUGUACUUGUUUGACCACCUUUUAAUGUUAAAGUUGACCUUUGACCUUUUCAGUGUUGGAAAGACACUUUCUUGCACUGAGGUCUGCUUAUUGUAAAUAUCUUGUACUUGUUUUUACACCUUUUAAUGUUAAAGUUGACCUUUGACCUUUUCAGUGUUGGAAAGACACUUUCUUGCACUGAGGUCUGCUUAUUGUAAAUAUCCUGUACUUGUUUUU
ensembl:lncRNA